AGAGUUUGAUCAUGGCUCAGGACGAACGCUGGCGGCGUGCCUAAUACAUGCAAGUUGAACGCAACAUAAACACCAGAGCUUGCUCUACCGUUUAUGUUGAGUAGCGAACGGGUGAGUAACGCGUGGGUAACCUGCCUUAUAGCGGGGGAUAACUAUUGGAAACGAUAGCUAAUACCGCAUAACAAUGUUAGAUGCAUAUUUAACAUUUGAAAGUACCAAUUGGUACACUAUGAGAUGGACCCGCGUUGUAUUAGCUAGUUGGUAGUGUAAUGGACUACCAAGGCGAUGAUACAUAGCCGACCUGAGAGGGUGAUCGGCCACAUUGGGACUGAGACACGGCCCAAACUCCUACGGGAGGCAGCAGUAGGGAAUCUUCGGCAAUGGACGAAAGUCUGACCGAGCAACGCCGCGUGAGUGAAGAAGGUUUUCGGAUCGUAAAACUCUGUUGUUAGAGAAGAACGUUGAUUAGAGUGGAAAAUUAAUCAAGUGACGGUAUCUAACCAGAAAGGGACGGCUAACUACGUGCCAGCAGCCGCGGUAAUACGUAGGUCCCGAGCGUUGUCCGGAUUUAUUGGGCGUAAAGCGAGCGCAGGUGGUUUAAUAAGUCUGAUGUAAAAGGCAGUGGCUCAACCAUUGUGUGCAUUGGAAACUGUUAGACUUGAGUGCAGUAGAGGAGAGUGGAAUUCCAUGUGUAGCGGUGAAAUGCGUAGAUAUAUGGAGGAACACCGGUGGCGAAAGCGGCUCUCUGGACUGUCACUGACACUGAGGCUCGAAAGCGUGGGUAGCAAACAGGAUUAGAUACCCUGGUAGUCCACGCCGUAAACGAUGAGUGCUAGUUGUUUGGGGCUAUCCAGCCCUAAGUGACGCAGCGA
rnacentral:rRNA from 1 species